rnacentral:lncRNA from 1 species
AUGAAUCCACUAAGAACCAUGAGGAACUCCUGUUUUUUUAUUUUAAAUGAUUUUUAUUUUUUUUCCAUUAUAGCUGGUGGUUUGCAGUGUUCUGUUAAUUUUCUACUGUACAGCAAGGUGACCCAGUCACACAUACAUAUAUACAUUCUUUUUUCUCCCAUUAUCAUGCUCCAUCAUAAGUGACUAGAUACAGUUCCCAGUGCUAUACAGCAGGAUCCCAUUGCUUAUCCAUUCCAAAGGCAAUAGUUUGCAUCUAUUAACCCCAAAUUCCCAGUCCAUCCCACUCUUCCCCCUCCCCCUUGGCAACCACAAAUCUGUUCUCCAAGUCCAUGCAUUUCUUUUCUGUGGAAAGGUUCAUUUGUGCUGUAUAUUAGAUUCCAGAUAUAAGUGAUAUCCUAUGGUAUUUGUCUUUCUAACUUACCUCACUUAGUAUGAGAGUCUCUAGUUCCAUCCAUGUUGUUGCAAAUGGCAUUAUUUUGUUCUUUUUAUGGCUGAAGAGUAUUCCAUUGUGUAUAUAUACCACAUCUUCUUAAUCCAUUCAUCUGUUGAUGGACAUUUGGGUUGAUUCGAUGUCUUGGCUUUUGUGAACAAUGCUGCAAUGAACAUACGGGUGCAUGUGACCUUUUCAAGGAAAGUUUUGUCUGGAUAUAUGCCCAAGAGUAGGAUUGCUGGGUCAUAUGUUCUAUAUUUAGUUUUCUGAGGUACCUCCCUACUGUUUUCCAUAGUGGUUGUACCAAUUUACAUUCCCACCAGCAGUGUAGGAUGCUUCCCUUUUCUCCACACCCUCUUCAGCAUUCGUUAUUUGUGGACUUUUUAAUGAUGGCCAUUCUGACUGGUGCCAGGUAGUGUGUGCUCUAUUCAAAUUAAAGUUUCUAUAAGUUAAAAAUCCUCCCCCCCCCAGAAUUCCCUCAUGGCCUAGCAGUUAAAGAUCUAGCAUUGUCACUGCUGUGGCUUUGGUUAUAGCUGUGGUAUGGGUUCCAGCCCUGGUCUGGGAACUUCUACAUGCCGCAGGCACAGCCUCAAAAUUUUACAAAAUAAAACUCCUCCCCCUUCCUUCCA